AACGAACGCUAGCGGUGCGUUUUAAGCAUGCAAGUCGAACGGUAUUUUUGUUGCUUGCAACAAAAAGAGAGUGGCGAACGGGUGAGUAACACGUAAGUAAUUUUUCUAUAUGACUGGAAUAGCCAGUGGAAACAUUGGGUAAUGCCAGAUAUUUUGUGUAAGGGAAACUUUACAUAAAAAAGGGUAUUUUUAUGCCGCAUAUAGCGAAGCUUGCGGCUGAUUAGCUUGUUGGUGAGAUAAAGGCUCACCAAGGCGACGAUUCAUAGCUGUUCUGAGAGGAAGAUCAGCCACACUGGGACUGAGACACGGCCCAGACUCCUACGGGAGGCAGCA
rnacentral:rRNA from 1 species